rnacentral:rRNA from 1 species
GAUGAACGCUAGCGGCAGGCUUAACACAUGCAAGUCGAGGGGUAACAGGGAAGAGCUUGCUUUUCCGCUGACGACCGGCGCACGGGUGCGUAACGCGUAUAGAACCUACCUUUUACAGGGGAAUAGCCCAGAGAAAUUUGGAUUAAUGCCCCAUAGUAUUAUUGAAUGGCAUCAUUUAAUAAUUAAACAUUUAUGGGUAAAAGAUGGCUAUGCGUUCUAUUAGCUAGAUGGUAAGGUAACGGCUUACCAUGGCAACGAUAGAUAGGGGUCCUGAGAGGGAGAUCCCCCACACUGGUACUGAGACACGGACCAGACUCCUACGGGAGGCAGCAGUGAGGAAUAUUGGACAAUGGAGGCAACUCUGAUCCAGCCAUGCCGCGUGCAGGAAGACGGUCCUAUGGAUUGUAAACUGCUUUUAUAUAGGAAGAAACCUUUCCACGUGUGGAAAGCUGACGGUACUAUAAGAAUAAGCACCGGCUAACUCCGUGCCAGCAGCCGCGGUAAUAAGGAGGGUGCAAGCGUUAUCCGGAAUCAUUGGGUUUAAAGGGUCCGUAGGCGGACUAAUAAGUCAGGGGUGAAAUCCAACAGCUUAACUGUUGAACUGCCUUUGAUACUGUUAGUCUUGAGUUAUAUGGAAGUAGAUAGAAUAUGUAGUGUAGCGGUGAAAUGCUUAGAGAUUACAUAGAAUACCGAUUGCGAAGGCAGUCUACUACGUAUA